GUAUAAAUUCAAAGAAAAAUAGCUCGGAUGAUCCUAUCAAUCUAAUCAGCGAACUUCAACGCAACGGAUUGAAACAAGAAAAGGCUAUUAGCCACCAUGAAGUGCUGAAAAAUGAGGAAAAACAAGCGAUAGGAUCACGGUCAAGAUGGACGCAUAAUCCUGCCACGUUACAAUGUAAUCUUCCGAGUAUACACAGUCCAAUUGUCCAAAUAUGCAUAGAUCCUAUGAUCCUAGCUACAGCUGUCUGAUCAUAAGCUCAUUACGGUAGAAAUUCAGAAAAGUGA